AACGCUGGCGGAACGCUUUACACAUGCAAGUCGAACGUUAACGCGGGGAGGAGCUUGCUCCGCCCCGACGACGAGUGGCGAACGGGUGAGUAAUACAUCGGAACGUGUCCGCUUGUGGGGGACAACCAGCCGAAAGGUUGGCUAAUACCGCAUGAGUUCUACGGAAGAAAGAGGGGGACCCGCAAGGGCCUCUCGCGAGCGGAGCGGCCGAUGACUGAUUAGCCUGUUGGUGAGGUAACGGCUCACCAAAGCAACGAUCAGUAGCUGGUCUGAGAGGACGACCAGCCACACUGGGACUGAGACACGGCCCAGACUCCUACGGGAGGCAGCAGUGGGGAAUUUUGGACAAUGGGCGCAAGCCUGAUCCAGCUAUUCCGCGUGUGGGAUGAAGGCCCUCGGGUUGUAAACCACUUUUGUAGAGAACGAAAAGACAUCUUCGAAUAAAGGAUGUUGCUGACGGUACUCUAAGAAUAAGCACCGGCUAACUACGUGCCAGCAGCCGCGGUAAUACGUAGGGUGCGAGCGUUAAUCGGAAUUACUGGGCGUAAAGGGUGCGCAGGCGGUUGAGUAAGACAGAUGUGAAAUCCCCGAGCUUAACUCGGGAAUGGCAUAUGUGACUGCUCGACUAGAGUGUGUCAGAGGGAGGUGGAAUUCCACGUGUAGCAGUGAAAUGCGUAGAUAUGUGGAAGAACACCGAUGGCGAAGGCAGCCUCCUGGGACAUAACUGACGCUCAAGCACGAAAGCGGGGGGAGCAAACAGGAUUAGAUACCCCUGGUAGUCCACGCCCUAAACGAUGUUAACUAGUUGUUGGGGAUGUAAUAAUUUCAGUAACGCAGCCAACGCGAGAAGUUAACCUCCUGGGAAGUACGGUCGCAAGACUAAAACUCAAAGGAAUUGACGGGGACCCGCACAAGCGGUGGAUGAUGUGGAUUAAUUCGAUGCAACGCGAAAAACCUUACCUACCCUUGACAUGUCAGGAAGCUCUUGUAAUGAGAGCGUGCCCGCAAGGGAGCCUGAACACAGGUGCUGCAUGGCUGUCGUCAGCUCGUGUCGUGAGAUGUUGGGUUAAGUCCCGCAACGAGCGCAACCCUUGUCACUAGUUGGUACGAAAGGGCACUCUAGUGAGACUGCCGGUGACAAACCGGAGGAAGGUGGGGAUGACGUCAAGUCCUCAUGGCCCUUAUGGGUAGGGCUUCACACGUCAUACAAUGGUCGGAACAGAGGGCAGCGAAGCCGUGAGGCGGAGCCAAUCCCAGAAAACCGAUCGUAGUCCGGAUUGCAGUCUGCAACUCGACUGCAUGAAGUCGGAAUCGCUAGUAAUCGCGGAUCAGCAUGCCGCGGUGAAUACGUUCCCGGGUCUUGUACACACCGCCCGUCAAACAAUGGGAGUGGUGUUUACCAGAAGUCGUUAGCCUAACCGCAAGGAGGGCGGCGACCACGGUGAG
rnacentral:rRNA from 1 species